rnacentral:rRNA from 1 species
CGGGGGGGGCAAGCGUUGUUCGGAAUUACUGGGCGUAAAGGGCUCGUAGGCGGCCAACUAAGUCCGACGUGAAAUCCCCAGGCUCAACCUGGGAACUGCGUCGGAUACUGGAUGGCUUGAAUUCGGGAGAGGGAUGCAGAAUUCCAGGUGUAGCGGUGAAAUGCGUAGAUAUCUGGAGGAAUACCGGUGGCGAAGGCGGCAUCCUGGACCGACAUUGACGCUGAUGAGCGAAAGCUAGGGGAGCAAACGGGAUUAGAUACCCCGGUAGUCCUAGCCCUAAACGAUGAAUGCUUGGUGUGACGGGUAUCGAUCCCUGUCGUGCCGAAGCUAACGCAUUAAGCAUUCCGCCUGGGGAGUACGGUCGCAAGGCUG